AAAACAUAGCUUAUAGGAAAAAUUAUAAGUUUUUUUUGCCCUAUGAAUUUUUAAUGGCCGCAGUACUUUGACUGUGCUAAGGUAGCAAAAUAAUUUGACUUUUAAAUGAAGCCCCGUAUGAAAGAAAUCAUGAAAAAAAAUUGUCUCCAUUAUUUUUAUUUAAAAUUUACUUAAUUGGUGAAAAUAUCAAUAAAAUAAAUAUUAGACGAGAAGACCCUUAGAAUUUUUAAAAUUUAAUUUAAUCUAAUUUUUUUUGUUGGGGCGACAAUAUAACAUAAUAAACUUAUAAUUUACUUACAAAACUAUAUUUAAUGAAGAAUUUAAUUACCUAAGGGAUAACAGCAUAAUAAAUUAAUUUGUUUGUGACCUCGAUGUUGGAUUAGGGUCAAAUAUGAUUAAAAAUUAUAUUUGCAGCUUCUGUUCGAAGUUUUUUUUACCUACGUGAUCU
rnacentral:rRNA from 1 species